GAUGAACGCUGGCGGCGUGCCUAAUACAUGCAAGUCGAGCGAACGGACGAGAAGCUUGCUUCUCUGAUGUUAGCGGCGGACGGGUGAGUAACACGUGGAUAACCUACCUAUAAGACUGGGAUAACUUCGGGAAACCGGAGCUAAUACCGGAUAAUAUUUUGAACCGCAUGGUUCAAAAGUGAAAGACGGUCUUGCUGUCACUUAUAGAUGGAUCCGCGCUGCAUUAGCUAGUUGGUAAGGUAACGGCUUACCAAGGCAACGAUGCAUAGCCGACCUGAGAGGGUGAUCGGCCACACCGGAACUGAGACACGGUCCAGACUCCUACGGGAGGCAGCAGUAGGGAAUCUUCCGCAAUGGGCGAAAGCCUGACGGAGCAACGCCGCGUGAGUGAUGAAGGUCUUCGGAUAGUAAAACUCUGUUAUUAGGGAAGAACAUAUGUGUAAGUAACUGUGCACAUCUUGACGGUACCUAAUCAGAAAGCCACGGCUAACUACGUG
rnacentral:rRNA from 1 species